UACGAAGGUCCCGAGCGUUGUUCGGAUUUACUGGGCGUAAAGCGUCUGUAGGCGGCGCGGCAAGUCAGAUGUGAAAGCCCGGGGCUCAACCCCGGAAAUGCAUCCGAUACUGCCGUGCUUGAGGGUCGGAGGGGAGUCUGGAAUUCACGGUGUAGCAGUGAAAUGCGUAGAUCUCGUGAGGAACACUAGUGGCGAAGGCGAGACUCUGGACGACACCUGACGCUGAGAGACGAAGGCCAGGGUAGCGAAAAGG
rnacentral:rRNA from 1 species